AUGGCGUCGGCUGCUGAUGCAACCAUUUACGCCGACGGGUUCCCGUCGGCUGAGCUGCCCCGGCGGCCGGUGGACUACCAGCCCAAAACCUGGGACUACGACUCCAUUUGCUCAUUGCAGCAGCAGGCGCACCAAGACGACAAGCAUACCAAGCAAAGCUCACUCCAAACGAGCUUGAAGCACAGAGUGAGGCGGCUUUUGCUCGAGGAGGAAGAAGAGCUGGCUACUAGGCUCAUGAUCAUGGAUCAACUCCAAAGUGUUGGUGUAGCAUACCAUUUCGAGGAGGAGAUCACAAGCAUCCUCAUGUCCAUGCAUGUUCAUGAUGCACACGUUCAACUCAAGCAUGACCUCUCUUCAACAGCCCUACUAUUUAGAAUGCUCAGAGGACAUGGAAUCCAUGCGUCCACAGAUGAUUGUAAUUUGUUCAUUUUGUUUGUAGAUAUGUUGACUUCAUUCAAGGAUGAAAUGGGUGAUUUCAAAGCUGAUAACGCCAAGGACAUAAAUGCUUUUGUUGCACUCUAUGAAACUUCCUACCUGGCCUUCCCAGGAGAGUCCAUGCUCGACGAAGCAAGAGCAUUCGCCGUCAAGAAACUCGAAGAACUGAUGCCAUCCAUGUCGAUCUUCAUGGGGCCUGAAAGACAAGGAGACAUCCCGUUGCACUGGAAAGUUCCCAGGCUGCAGGCGACAUGGUCGCUGAAACAGCACGGCUACAACGAGGAGAGCCACCUGAGUAUCGAUCCUUCCAUCCGGCAGCUGGCUGCGGUCGACUUCAACUUCGUGCAGGCUGUCCAUGGAGCGGAGCUCGUCCAAGUGAUGAAAUGGUGGAAGGAGACCGGGUUGGGCGAGAAGCUGCCAUUCGCAAGGGACCGUCUGGUGGAAUGCUUCUUCUGCGCAGCAUGCAUCGCGCCGGAGCCCCACCUCACCGGCUGUCGCGAGGUGCUGGCCAAGGUGGGCUCCCUCAUCGUCCAACUGGACGACGUCUAUGACAUCUAUGGCACGGUCGAUGAGCUGACCGCCUUCACCGAUGUCGUGGGCGACUGGUGGGAAUGGGACGACGAUGAUUUUUCGUCGGUGCCGAGGCUGCCAGAGUACAUGAAGGUGAUGUACUCUGCCAUCCGGUCGACGUCGACGGAGGCAGCAAAUCGUGUAAUGAAGGAGCAAGGGUACGACGUGCUCCCACUGUACAAGAAAGCAUGGCAUGAGCUGUGUAAGUCGUUCCUGAUAGAAGCCAAGUGGCAGCACGAGGGUCAGAUGCCAUGCUUGGAGGAGUACCUCGGGAACGGGUGGGUCACGUCCACGGGGCCUCUCCUGCUGCUCCACGCUUUCACCAUGCUCCAGCCGCAACAGCAGAUGGAUUCAUGGCUGCAGAAAAACGAAGAUGGCGAUGACAUGGUCAUGGCAUACCCGAAGCUGGUUGAGCUAUGUUCCAUGAUCUUCCGGCUCUGCAACGACUGCGCGACCCACGAGGCCGAGUCAGAGCGGGGCGAGACCGCGUAAGCCAUCAUCUGCCGCAUGGGUGGUGGCGCCAGCAAGGAAGAGGCCCGCGCCGCGGUGGUGGACGCCAUUGCCGAGACCUGGAAGAAGGUGAACAGGGAAGUCGCCUUGAGCAGCAGCACCGGGACCAGCGUCUGCGUCAACCUGGCGAGGACCGUCCAAUGCAUCUAUCAAGACGGCGACGGCAUCACCUCGCCCAAGGACAGCCGGAAACAACUCGUCAAGGACAUGCUCUUCACGCCUGUUGCUCUAGAUAUUUGUGGCGCACACUAG
rnacentral:rRNA from 1 species